GCGUUCCUGUUAAAGUGAAUAUAAAUAUAACAUUUAGUACGACUGGCAUCAUUGCUGUGGGAUGUGGAGGAGCACUAUUUGCUAUGCUCAUCAUUACAUGUAUAUAUAUGUGUGUGAAAAGAAGAACAAAUACUAAUAUGUUACUGUAUGUAUCCUUAAAAUAAUACCAUGGACGCAGUACAAAUAAGUUAGCUUAAGAAUGACCUAGCAUAAUAUGACCAAAAUGAAAACUAAUAUUUCAUUCCACAAAAUUCGUUAGUAGACAGAAACGAACAAAUAAGGCUACUCUAUGAACGUAACACGGUGUAGUUUGAGGCAAACUCUUAGUAGGAGAUAUUCAGAUUUUGAUUUGUACUACAAUUUAUUGAUCGGUCAAAUGACCCUCAUCCUCUUAUCAUUUUUCAGUUUGUUGGUCUAAAUAUUUUUUGUGUAUCACUGCUGUAUGUUUUGGUUUCAUUAUUUUGUUUUGUUACUUUGUCUUAGUAAUGUGUAUCCCGUGACACCUUUUAUUCACAUUCCAAAAACACCUGUUUUAUUCUGUAUGGAAUAGUAGUACUUGAGCAAAGAGAUUUUUUGUGGAAAAUAUGUUUUAUCAGAGAAAUUUGUAAUAGGUGUUAUGAUUAAGGAUACAUCAUAUAAGUAUUUGUACGGUCGGACACACAAAUACAGUUUUUCAUGUAUUUAACAUAUCUAGAAUAAAGUAAUGCCAUAAUAUAUAUAUAUUUUGUUUCCAGAAAAUCAUUAUUUAAAGUCAGCAUCUCAUUCUAUUAUAUAAAGUAGAUACAACAUGUUCUUUGUAACAUUUUAGUUGUUAUGUCCAAAACAAUUAUGAAUUUCUUAAAGUGAAAUUUUUAGACAUAUUUUUGAUAGGCGAAUUACGUCAAUGAGACAGCAAUCAAACUGUAAAAAGAUAAAUAGUACUUUAGAGGUCAAUAAACGGUCUUAUAGCAAAGACUUCGUCAGAAGUUGCCUUUGGUCAAUAUCCAUUUCUGACCAUAUCAUUUACGAAUAAGUUAGUAAUGGAGAUCAAAACCCUUUUAUACCAGAUAGUUUCUGUUAUAUGUAUAUCCUUAUACCUCUGCGAUUCAUUUCCUUUCAUUUAUUGCCUUCAUGUGAGUCCCCAAUAAUAUCAUCAGUUCGGUAGUCAUAGACUCUGUACUGAUUUUCAACAAAUCAUUUUUAUGUUCUUCGUUAAUACAUUUACUAUUUUUUUAACCUAAGGUUCAGGCAAAAAUGGAUAAUCAAUUUUUUACAUACUUUAUGUCAUUCAGCUCUUCACGUUUUAAGGUACUUAAGCAUCAAUAUUAAAUAUUUGAUUCUGAGCGCACCCGAUGCUGAAAUUAAAUUCAGAAGAGGGCUGCGAACGAUCCAAAUUGAUUAAGUGAAUUAUUUUCCAUAUUCUGCAUCUUCGUUUAUUCGUACUUCCAUAUUUAUUAUGAACAACAACAGUCUGACAGAAAAUGGUAUAUCAUAUUACGUUCACAUUAGGAAAUAAAAUACUGUGUUGUUUUUUUCUUCUCCUUUAACAGUGCCAGUCAUAGAAGUGUUUCGAUUAGGACAAAUUUGACACCGUUGUUAAAUGAAUUGAUGAGAGAUAGUUUACAAGAUGACGUCAGGAUAAAUUGGCAGAAAUUCCUCAAUUUGUUCCAGCAUAAAAUUGACGUUCUUCCUGACUGGGAAGAUUUCAUUAGAACUUUGUUUACUCUUUCAGAAAAGGCGGAAAACGGACAGCAAGCUGUAAAUGAAGCCAAAGUUUCACACGAGCAGGAUCAAUAUCAUUCACGACUUUAUUACGCACUUAUAAAAUGGACACACUGCUUCAGCAACGACAACGAUGUGGAAAUGUUUAACAUUCUAUGUGAUGCAGUAAAUAAGCAUAAAAUGUGUCCAGUGGCAAUUUAAUGAAGCAAAAAGUGUAUUCCUGUAACAUAUUAAGCUUCAAAAGUUGAAUUGUAUUCAAAGGCAUCGAUAGGAUAUGUUCGUCUCCAUUAUAAAUGGAUUAUUGAUGUAUAUAGCUAAUUGUCGAACAGACUAACUUAACUGAAUGCGCUGUAUAAAUGAAUUAUAAAAAACGUUUUUAUCAAGUCAAUCUUUAAUGUUUACGUACAAUAUAUUCAAUGAUGACUUAUGUAUAAAACACAUGUGUCAAAGGUCAUUCAAAAACGUCAAUUCGAAGAAAGACAGACACCAGUUUCGUGAUGAUUAAAAGUUCGAAUUUAUUUUACUUCGUUUUUAUAACCCAAUCUUUCGAUGGUAUGCAAUUAAUUCAGAAAUGCAAAUUUGGACACUUUCAGUAAAGGAAAUAAUUUAUAGUUUGGUAUAAUCCAACGUUAUUGUGAUUUUUAAUGGUGACUCUAUUGUUAUACAAAACAUAUAAAAUUUCAAAAUUAAUAGCACUAAUCGAUGUACCUCACCAAUCAAGAUACCCUGAGACCAUCCUGGUAUAUUUUCUCGCUCGUGGUUGGAAUGUAUUGUAUUAUAUAACAGGUGUUUGCCUUUAUUUACCAUGGUGUUGUUUGUCUUUCUUUACCUUUUAUAUAUUUUUUUUUUGGCAUCUUGGUAUUUUCUUACUGUUUUUGAUCUUUUCCUAAAUAUUAAUACAGUUAAACAUGGCGACCCAGCUACAUUAUGAUUAUAUUUCAUGAAAAGACAAUUCAAUGAAUAAAUUAUUUCAAUCAACAUUUACGUUAGACUUAAAGCCUGGUAUCCAUAAUGAUUUCACUAAAUAACCACUAGCAUGUAUUUAUAGGAUAUUUCAUCGUCAAAUAGCUUGUAAUUAAUUCACAAUUGUCAUCACUUUUAGAAGUAAACGGUAAGAGGAAAUUAAAAUCAAAAGAAGCAGAGUUUAAGUUCUUAGAAGGAGAUUUUUUUAUACUUAACUGGAUAAAAAUGUGUCCCAUUUUACUUGUUAGAGAAAUUAUCUAUAUAGACUCCAAAUCGUUAUUUGUUUUGCAUAUUGUAUGUAAAUUAAAAAAAAAAACAGCGUACAUCUACAGGUAUUAGAAUUAUGUUUUUGCAAUUCUGAAAAUAUAUACACUUAAAGUAAAUGCACAUGUAAGCUUCAGUUGUCAUUUGAUACCCAAUAAUGUAUGAUAAAGUUUUUCAUCCCUUUUCUGUCGAUUUUGCUCCUUUUAAAAAAAUCAUUUUAAACGGAUAUUGACGCAAUUUUUUUCAGAUGUCUGCUGUUUUAUUAUAUAUUUAAUAGUUGUGGCAUCAACAAACUAGAAUGAAAACAGACAAUGACGAAAACGUAAGCAAUUUUUAAAUAACAUUGAAUAAUUAUGUUAUUUCAAUAUAUACAUCAUUUAUAAGCCGUAACAGAUAUAAAUGUACGAUUUUGUUAUUCUAACGAGAUGUUUUUUGUUGCUAAUUUGGUGUUUGGUUGUUUGUUUAUUUGUUAAGUUGAUAUGUUUGUUUUAAUUUUCAGAAUUAAUUUUUAGUUUGUUAAAUUAGUUAGUUUUCAAAAACAAGAAGUGGGUACUAUGACUGCAGUAUUAAUGGUUGUCUGAUGAUUUUCUGCAAUCAAAUUGUUUACAUUUUGUUCUGAGCAUUCCACAAAAUCAUGUAUUUAUUACUAUUCAUGACGUUGUUGUACGAUAUUAGUACAUCAGCCGAUAUAAGAGGACGACACGAUUUUAUAUGAGCAGGUUCAGUACGUUGUUAUUGCCUUAGAAACUGCAAUCAGUCAAUGAUACAAUAUAUAGUGCUGAUUUUUUUUAAACAUUUUUGUUUUGUAUCUAUUAUACCAUUAUUUUAUGCGUUAUAUGAUUUUCCUGUACUGAUUUAUAGUCCAUGUUCUUUUUUCGAGUGAUCUAAAACAAAAACGUCCACAUAUUUAUAUGACUGUCCAAAACCAGAACUUUGUCAGUGGUUGUCUGAAGACAUAUCUUUAUGUUUAGUUGCUAUUUUUGUUUUAUUGAAAAUUUGGAGUUUCUGACAGAUAUUUCAUUAGUUUCUGUUUAAUUUAUUUACAACCUUUUAGACUUUGGUCUAUGUAGAACUUGCCAAAAUGUACAAGUAUUAUAGAUACUGUGUUGAAAACUGCAUGUUACCUUAAUGAUGUAUGUUGUUAUUUGUUUCAUUCGGAUAAAAACCCAAAAUAAAGUAUAUUCCACAUGAGUUGUUUUCAUACUCAAUCAAAUGGAACAUGUUGUUGAUGCAAUUAUUGCUCAUAAGCAAUGGACAAUAAUAAAUAUGAAAUUCGACUCAUUACGCAUACUUGUUAGACAUCAAUCAAAUGUUAGUCAUUGCAAAAUAUACAAUCAUUAUGAACAAAAGUAAUAAAAAACACGUAUCCACACAAAAAUUCGAGCUCCUAAUCGUCCAUCAUCUAUAAAACCUUAUAAUUUAACAGAAACAAUCAAACAUCGGCCAUAAAUGUCCACUUCUUUAAAUAUAAAAAAGACAUGACACCGAUGACUACUGACGAAAUUCCUGACUUAGUUUUUAGAGAUCGCAACCCUCCCCCUAUUUUGUUAUACAUUUACGGCCAGAAAUCACCUUUAAAUUGUAGCCAACAAAAGACAAAAAUCAAUAAUAAAAUUUUACAGGAAACCAAAUACAAAUAGAAAUGUCAACUAAACUGUUAAAUAUCUGAAUUUCCUAUACUAUAGUCUUUUUUUGCCGGAUUUCUUCUCUUAACUGUAACGGAAACCAACGAAAUAUUUAUUUGUCCAAUAAGUUCACAAACUAGUAUGAUGUUGUUGACGUACAUAAAAGUGUCAAUCCAACAACUCCAGAUAUCUUCUUAGAAUACUUGUAUGUUUCUGUAUAUGUCUGUAUAUAUCUAACUUUGGUGUCUGUAUAUAUACCACGGAAACUUCUAGAAAACUGUAGAAGAGAAACUUUCAGAACAUUGUGAAGUUUAAAUCACGCAUCGUAGACUAUGAUCAUUCUGGAAAUAUUAUGCAAGUCAAAUAGAAAGUUCUAAUCAUUCCAUCAGUAUCUACGAUUGCUCCAGUGAUUUCUAAACUGCAUAAUUAUAACAUAAUUUUGUAAACAACUAUAAAUAGGUCACAACCCAAUUAUGUAAACAUAUUAUAAGGACACAUAAAACAAAAUAGGCCCAAGAUAAAUAAUCAUAAUAAUUACAAUCUCAUAACAAUACUGUUUUAUCAAAUAUUUAAACUAGUUUGAUUCUUAACAAUUUUAAACCAGGUUCAACCCACCAUUUUUUC